rnacentral:rRNA from 1 species
GAGUAAUGUCUGGGAAACUGCCUGAUGGAGGGGGAUAACUACUGGAAACGGUAGCUAAUACCGCAUAACGUCGCAAGACCAAAGAGGGGGACCUUCGGGCCUCUUGCCAUCGGAUGUGCCCAGAUGGGAUUAGCUAGUAGGUGGGGUAACGGCUCACCUAGGCGACGAUCCCUAGCUGGUCUGAGAGGAUGACCAGCCACACUGGAACUGAGACACGGUCCAGACUCCUACGGGAGGCAGCAGUGGGGAAUAUUGCACAAUGGGCGCAAGCCUGAUGCAGCCAUGCCGCGUGUAUGAAGAAGGCCUUCGGGUUGUAAAGUACUUUCAGCGGGGAGGAAGGGAGUAAAGUUAAUACCUUUGCUCAUUGACGUUACCCGCAGAAGAAGCACCGGCUAACUCCGUGCCAGCAGCCGCGGUAAUACGGAGGGUGCAAGCGUUAAUCGGAAUUACUGGGCGUAAAGCGCACGCAGGCGGUUUGUUAAGUCAGAUGUGAAAUCCCCGGGCUCAAC